UUGUUCUUCCGGUGCCUCUGCUGCGGCAGAGGGUAAAAGAGAAACAGGUGCGAAUCCUGUACGAACCCGUCACUGUAUUUGGGGAGCGGAGCACAACGUGCACCGCACAGUCACUGGACCGGAAUAUCCGCGCGGCAGCGCAGGGUGUUCUGUCCGGGAAGGCUGUGCUCCGCAUUGAUCCAUAAGCCAGGAAACCUGCCGGAAGAGA
rnacentral:ncRNA from 1 species